rnacentral:rRNA from 1 species
UAGAGUUUGAUCAUGGCUCAGGAUGAACGCUAGCGGCAGGCCUAAUACAUGCAAGUCGAGGGGUAGAGGUUGCUUGCAACCUUGAGACCGACGCACGGGUGCGUAACGCGUAUGCAACCUACCUUUAUCUGGGGGAUAGCCCGGAGAAAUCCGGAUUAAUACCGCAUAAAAUCACAGUAUCGCAUGAUACAAUGAUCAAACAUUUAUGGGAUGAAGAUGGGCAUGCGUGUCAUUAGUUAGUUGGCGGGGUAACGGCCCACCAAGACGACGAUGACUAGGGGAUCUGAGAGGAUGACCCCCCACACUGGUACUGAGACACGGACCAGACUCCUACGGGAGGCAGCAGUAAGGAAUAUUGGUCAAUGGAGGCAACUCUGAACCAGCCAUGCCGCGUGCAGGAUGACGGCCCUCUGGGUUGUAAACUGCUUUUAUUCGGGAAUAAACCUACUUACGUGUAAGUAGCUGAAUGUACCGAAGGAAUAAGGAUCGGCUAACUCCGUGCCAGCAGCCGCGGUAAU